CCCUUAGAUGAUUUGGGCUGCACGCGCGCUACACUGACCCUAACAAUGAGCAACUGUCUGGCCUGAGAUGGCUGGGUAGCCUUUUCAACCCAUGUCAUGAUUGGGCUAGAUUUUUGUAAGUCUUGAUCUCUAACGAGGAAUCCCUAGUAUGCGUGAAUCAUCAAUCCAUGCAGAUUAUGUCCCUGCCCUUUGUACACACCGCCCGUCGCUCCUACCGAUUGAGUGUGUUGGUGAGGAGUUCGGAUUGGCUCUUAGUGGUGGUUCGCCACCACCUAGAGCUGAGAAGUUCUCCAAACCGCCCCACUUAGAGGAAGGAGAAGUCGUAACA
rnacentral:rRNA from 1 species